GUUUUACCGUACAUGUAGUUACAGAAGUUCCGGAGUACUCAAUCAUCAAAGUUGUUGAUUAUUAAGUACAGUACUCUUGAUGUUGGAACCGUAAUACUUACCUUCAUUGGUGAUGAUCAGUGUUGUAGCCACGGUGGGCGACGGUGGGCGGGCCUGCCAAGUACUGACAAUUUCCGCCCGGCACUUCAGCUGAAAAACAGACUGCCAAUACCACAACUAGUUCCAAUGGGAAGAGGUUGAAUCAAGGAAGAGGCUGAGUGAGAAGAAUGCAGAGGACUUCAAGCAUAU